UUGGAGGGCAAGUCUGGUGCCAGCAGCCGCGGUAAUUCCAGCUCCAAUAGCGUAUAUUAAAGUUGUUGCAGUUAAAAAGCUCGUAGUUGAAUUUCGGGAUCAGAUUGUCGGUCGUGCCUCGGUACGCACUGGUAUUAUUGGUUCCUACCUUCUGAAGAACCGCGAUGUCAUUAAUUUGGUGUCGUGGGGAAUCAGGACUGUUACUUUGAAAAAAUUAGAGUGUUUAAAGCAGGCUUACGCUUGAAUACAUUAGCAUGGAAUAAUGAAAUAGGACGUUUGAUUCUAUUUUGUUGGUUUCUAGGAUUGACGUAAUGGUUAAUAGGGAUAGUUGGGGGCAUUAGUAUUCAAUUGUCAGAGGUGAAAUUCUUGGAUUUAUUGAAGACUAACUACUGCGAAAGCAUUUGCCAAGGAUGUUUUCAUUAAUCAAGAACGAAAGUUAGGGGAUCGAAGACGAUCAGAUACCGUCGUAGUCUUAACCAUAAACUAUGCCGACUAGGGAUCGGAUGAUGUUAAUUUUUUAAUGACUCAUUCGGCGCCUUACGGGAAACCAAAGUGUUUGGGUUC
rnacentral:rRNA from 1 species